AUGAGUAUACUGCCAGAUGCGGGCCUUCGCUUGGGACCUUGGACACAUUCUUCACAAAAUGCAGUCAAACCUGUAGUGACGGCUUCCAGAGGGCAGUUCCUUGUAAAGCUACCGGAGGAGAAGCUUUUCCGGCACCAGGGCCUGACUAGCUGCUCCACCUCAAGAGCCAGAUCGGUUCGGCAAGUGGAUAGCAUCAUUGGAAUAAUAUCGUGCAUAGUGAUGCAGGCUAGGAUGCAAUCUCUAAGCCUGCAGGAGUGGGCAUCGUUGUCCGAGAUCAUGCAUGGCUGGUGUUCCUGUGUGUGCUAG
rnacentral:rRNA from 1 species